UACGUAGGGGGCAAGCGUUGUCCGGAUUUAUUGGGCGUAAAGAGCGUGUAGGCGGCCUGACAGGUCUGCUGUGAAAACUCGAGGCUCAACCUCGAGAUGUCGGCGGAAACCGUCUGGCUAGAGUCCGGAAGAGGAGAGUGGAAUUCCUGGUGUAGUGGUGAAAUGCGCAGAUAUCAGGAAGAACACCUAUGGCGAAGGCAGCUCUCUGGGACGGUACUGACGCUGAGACGCGAAAGCGUGGGGAGCGAACAGG
rnacentral:rRNA from 1 species